AUGCGGAGCCUCGCCGUCGCGAGCCCCGUCCCGCCAGCCGCCGCCCAUCGACGGAGGCUCCGGCCGUCCGCCUCCGGCAGGGAAGUAGUUUCACAAUGUUUGAAGUGUGAGAUAAAUCAGGACCGACCUAUGGGAGCUCUAAGGAUAGGUCACUCUCAAGGAAAUUUGCCAAGACAUGGUUCGAAGAAUCUGCUCACACCAGCUGCUGCAGCCAUUUCAGUUGAACAAGUUGAAGUCAGUACCUAUCUUCCAAAAGGUGAUAUGUGGUCUGUGCACAAGUUUGGUGGCACUUGCAUGGGAACACCUCAGAGAAUUCAGAAUGUUGCUGAUGUAGUUCUUGGUGACUCUUCCGAGAGGAAGCUGAUAAUUGUCUCUGCAAUGUCCAAAGUUACUGACAUGAUGUACAGUCUCGUGCAUAAGGCUCAGUCAAGGGAUGAUUCUUACACAGAAGAAUUGGAUAAAGUUUUUGAGAAGCAUAUGGCUGCAGCGAAAGAUCUUCUUGAUGGAGAAAACCUUGCAAGAUUUUUGUCUGAGUUGCAUUCGGACAUCAGUAACCUGAGAGCAAUGCUCCGUGCUAUUUAUAUAGCUGGACAUGCAACAGAAUCUUUCUCUGAAUUCGUUGUUGGGCAUGGGGAGUUGUGGUCAUCUCAGAUGCUAUCGUAUGCUGUACAGAAGUCUGGAGCAUCUUGUAGUUGGAUGGAUACAAGAGAAGUUCUAGUUGUAAAACCUAGUGGUCCUGACAUGGUAGAUCCUGAUUAUGAGGAAUCUGAGAAGCGACUCGAGAAAUGGUUUUCACGCCAACCUGCUGAGAUAAUAGUUGCUACUGGCUUUAUCGCGAGUACAGCUGAAAACAUCCCUACUACUCUGAAAAGGGAUGGAAGCGAUUUCUCAGCAGCAAUAAUUGGUUCUCUUGUUAGGGCACGCCAAGUCACAAUCUGGACCGAUGUUGAUGGGGUAUUUAGUGCCGAUCCUAGGAAAGUCAGUGAGGCUGUGAUCUUAAGCACAUUAUCAUAUCAGGAGGCCUGGGAAAUGUCAUACUUUGGGGCAAAUGUGUUGCAUCCCCGUACCAUUAUACCUGUGAUGAAAGACAAUAUUCCCAUUGUCAUUAGGAACAUGUUCAAUCUCUCUGCCCCUGGAACUGUGAUUUGCAAGCAGCCUGCUAACGAAGAUGCUGAUUUGGAUGCUUGUGUCAAAUCAUUUGCUACUAUAGAUAAAUUGGCCCUUGUUAACGUUGAAGGAACUGGAAUGGCUGGUGUUCCAGGUACAUCAAGUGCCAUAUUUAGUGCUGUAAAAGAGGUCGGAGCUAAUGUUAUCAUGAUAUCUCAGGCUAGCAGUGAACACUCGAUAUGUUUUGCUGUUCCAGAAAAGGAAGUUGCAGCAGUCUCUGCAGCCUUGCAUGUUAGGUUUCGUGAAGCAUUAGCAGCAGGAAGGCUCUCUAAGGUUGAAGUCAUUCAUGAUUGCAGCAUUCUUGCUGCUGUUGGCCUGAGAAUGGCAAGUACUCCUGGAGUCAGUGCAAUCCUUUUUGAUGCGCUAGCAAAGGCAAACAUUAAUGUACGAGCAAUAGCUCAAGGUUGCAGUGAGUACAAUAUUACUGUUGUAUUGAAACAAGAAGAUUGUGUUAGGGCUCUAAGAGCUGCUCACUCAAGGUUCUUCCUCUCAAAAACCACACUUGCUAUUGGGGUCAUUGGACCUGGUUUGAUUGGGGCAACACUGCUCAACCAGCUCAGGGACCAGGUAGCAAUCCUGAAGGAAAAUAUGAAUAUUGAUGUGCGUGUCAUCGGAAUAACUGGCGCAAGCACGAUGCUUUUGAGUGAAACGGGAGUAGACCUAACCAGGUGGAAAGAAGAAAUGCAAAAGGAAGCAAAACCAGCUGAUCUUGCUAAUUUUGUUCGCCAUUUGUCUGAGGACCAUGUGUUUCCAAACAAAGUAUUGGUGGACUGCACAGCAGAUACAAAUGUGGCAUCUCACUACUAUGAUUGGUUGAAGAAGGGUAUCCAUGUCAUCACACCGAAUAAAAAAGCAAAUUCUGGUCCACUUGAUCGGUAUCUGAAACUAAGGACUCUACAGCGUGCAUCAUAUACUCAUUACUUUUAUGAAGCAACUGUUGGUGCAGGCCUGCCAAUAAUUAGCACCCUGCGAGGUCUUCUGGAGACAGGUGACAAGAUAUUGCGUAUUGAAGGCAUUUUCAGUGGAACUCUGAGUUAUAUUUUCAACAAUUUUGAAGGAACAAGGAGCUUUAGUGAUGUUGUUGCUGAAGCAAAAGAAGCUGGAUACACUGAGCCAGACCCAAGAGAUGAUCUAUCUGGAACAGAUGUUGCCAGAAAGGUCAUUAUCCUUGCAAGGGAGUCUGGUUUGAGACUUGAGCUUUCAGAUAUCCCGGUAGAGAGCCUUGUGCCAGAGGCGCUAAAGUCAUGCUCGUCGCCAAAUGAAUUCAUGCAAAAGCUACCAUCGUUUGACCAGGAUUGGGCCAGACAGCGCCAUGAGGCUGAGGCUGCAGGCGAAGUACUGCGGUACGUGGGAGCGGUGGACGUGCUGAACGGAAAGGGAAGGGUAGAACUGCAGAGGUACAAGAGGGACCACCCAUUCGCCCAGCUAUCUGGUUCGGACAACAUCAUCGCCUUCACCACUUCGAGGUACAAGGAGCAGCCGCUGAUCGUGCGAGGGCCGGGCGCAGGCGCGGAGGUGACUGCCGGAGGCGUCUUCUGCGACAUCCUGCGGCUGGCGUCCUACCUCGGCGCCCCCUCAUAG
rnacentral:rRNA from 1 species